AAUAUUGGCGCCUUGGCGCAAGUGGAGUCACUCGACCUAUCACACAAUGAGUUGUCCGGUGGAAUCCCUGCCAGCUUAUCAACUCUCACAUCAUUAAGUCGCUUGAACAUGUCCUAUAAUAACCUGACCGGAGAGGUACCAUCUGGAGAUCAACUGCAAACACUUGAAGAUCCAGAAUAUAUUUAUAUUGGCAACCCAGGCCUCUGCGGUCCUCCUCUCUCACAGAAAUGUUCACAACCCGAGUCAAUUCCAGCUACUCCAGAACACCAUGAUGAUUUAAACGAUGUGGCAUCAUUUUUCAUCGCUAUGGGUUCUGGAUAUGUUAUGGGUCUCUGGGUAGUCUUCUGUACCUUCUUAUGCAAGAGGAAAUGGAGAGUUAAGUGGUACCACGUCUGCGACGGUUUGUAUGACCGGGUCUAUGUGCAAGUGGCAGUUACAUGGACUUCUUGGACAAGGAAAAAAUGCGCAGAAGCUGAGAGCGAUCACUAGCUCACGCUGGUUUUCCUUUUGCUAUCACGUAGAGUGUGGGGAUUUUACCAUGUAUCAAUGUAUUUAUAGUAUCGUACUAUACUACUAUUGUUUCAUAAAUAUGUAUUUGAGGAUUAUGCCUUAGAAUAAGGUUUGGGUAUGUAAAGCUGAUGUGUAAUGAAUAAUGCCAGGGGCAGCACUUGAUCCCCUGUUCCGGGUGUGGGACGGAGGGAGUAUAUAUAUAUGUCUUUGCCGUAUCUCUGAAUCCAACCCAUAUCUCUGGUGUCUGUUCAGAUAGGAGUAGAACUAGGAUUUCUGAGAGACAGAAUUUAGUAUGUGAAAGAGUGUCAACCCCAAGGUAAAUUAUUUCACUCGAUGCGCUAUACUAGGUGGGUGCUGACACUAAGAAACAUUGUACAGUUUUCAGACUUGUUCACACAAACUAAUUUUACUGAAAUAAUGCAGAGUCACCAUGUUUGUUCAGAUAGAUAGGACUAGGAUUACUCUCAGAGAGAAUAUAGUUUGUGCAAGAGUGUCAAACACAAUUGAUAUUACAGGGUAGGGUUUUAUUCUUUCAGCUGGACUGCUUAAUUUCUGCAGACAACCCGUAUGACCGACAGACUAGACGCUCUGCGCUGCGCUUGUUUCAAAGAAUGCACUAGAAAAAGAGGAACAAGUAAGCGUACUGGUUGAUUGGUUACCCGGGGUACUUGCCGUUGCAUCAGGUCCAUAGCUUGAAAAACGUUCUUAUAUUGUGGGACAGAGGGAGUAACUGAUUUCUGGUCGUGGUGGUGGCGACAGGCAAAGAAGGCAGGGUGGUGCCUGCAGGACCGCGGUGUGUUGCCUGACGGCGAGUACGUGCACCGUCGGCACACCCUCCCCGUCGCCGUUGCCGCCUUGUCUUCAUCCAUCGUGAGCGCCACCGGAGUCCCCCUUUUUUUUCUCGAUUUCUCAUUUUCUUUCGGACGAAAUAGAUAGUAAUCUUGCUGUUUUGGGUCAGUCCUCGAUGCUUUCUGGCAGGCACGUGUUAUGUAUGACUAUCAAUGGUUUUCCCUUUAACCCCUCGAAAAAAAACUUAGUUCUCAAAAAAAAAAUCAAUGGUUUUCCCUCUUCUCAUAAAAAAAAAAGUCAAUGGUUUUCACUUUCUGUUUCCGAAUACCUCUAAAAAAAACUUUCAGUUUCAGAUAUAGUAGUACAGUCGCAAGUACAGACUAACUUGGCUGAAUGAGCCACAAUUAAGUUUGUGCAAAGAGUCAAACACAAUUAAGUUACAGCAUGAUAGGAUUUAUUAUGUCGAUUGGACAGUUUGAUUUCUUCAAACAAACAAGAUCACUUACACGGUGUUUGAUUUAAUGUACAGAGUCACAGACUAGACACCCAGAGCACUGCGUUUGUUACAGAGGACUAGGGGAGGCACUGGCAGAAGAGGGACAGGUAAGCAAUGUGCUGAGUUGGAGAGUGGACAAGUGAUAUUACAAUGAUAAGAUUUCUCACGGCCAAAAUGUAGUCUGCAGUGGACAAGUGAUAUUACAAUGUACUCCCUGCGUCCCAUUUUAUUACUCCCUCUGAUCCAAAUUAAAUGAUGCAGCUUGUCAUUUAAUUUGGAUCGUAAGGAGUAUGUUGAUUCUUUCUCUCGAUGCACUAUACUUGACUCGGUGUGAUUUCUUCACCUGACAAACAGUGUGCGAGUUCAGACUUCUUCCGACGAACUAAUUUGCCAUAUCUCUGAAUCCAACACAUUAGGUCUGUUCAGAUAGGACUAGGAUUUAUGAGAGACAGAAUUUAGUACUCCCUCUGUUCACUUUUGUAAGGCCUUGAUGACAUUUCAGACAGGGUGCAAAGUAGCUCAUUUUCAAUUAUCUGAAAUGACUUAUAAAAAGAAUGAGGGGGAGAAGAAUCCCUUUCGCUCGCGUCACUCCCGGGGGGGCUCGGGCGGUAACCUAGCCGCCGCCACGCCCGCUCCUCUUUCCUCCUUCGCUCCUCCCGUCGCUGUCGGGGGAUGCCGGCGGGCAAAGCCUGCUAGGCGGACGGCAGCGGCUGGGGCCCCUCGUCGCGCGCCGCGGGGCUUCGGGCCCCGGUCGAAGGCCCGCAUCUGGCGGCGGCCGCGUCUCGUCGACGCGAGCAAGCCGGGGCAGCGGCUAGGUUAAAGGAUAGGAUUUUUAUUAUGUUGAUUUUGGUUUGUUUAAUUUCAUCAGACAAUCCAUAUGACUGGCAGGGUGUUUGCUCUACUGUACAUAGUGACAGAAUCAAGCAUACUACUACUUGGGUGCGACGUAGGAGAGGUGGAAGCUGGGGGCGUCAGGGUCCUCAGCACCGCAGCAGUCGUAGAACCUGGUCAUGUACGGCGUGCCGCCCUCCUUGACCUCCUAGCAAGGUUUUGGUUAUCGAAUGAGGCAAUUUUACCGAGAGGGGCGGGUAAAUGUGGUUACCACGGUUACCGAGAAAUACCAAGAAAUACCGAGAAUAUUUCGAGCGAAUUUUAUAGUUGAAUUUUGAAUUCAAAUAAGUGAACGAAUGAAUAUUCGAACCAGAGACCUCUCAAAACAGGAAUUAGGUUGCUACCAACAUGCCAGAACUAACUCUCAUGGCAUUAAUUAGAUCCUACGUACUUUUACUGUAAAUCGAGUGUUUAAAUUCAAAAAUUUCAAUAAACUGGUAUUUUUUGCUCGGUAUGGCGAUUUACCCAGGGGCACGGAAAUAUGCGGUAACCAUGGGAAAUCUUGAAAUUUCAACCGGUAACCAAAACCUUGCCUCCUAGUACCUGCCGUCCGGUUUCAUUCCUUGUUCGGGCUGCAAGUGAGUGAGUGAAUGACAGUUCAUCAAUCAACGUGGGUUUGUCGUUGUAAAUAGCAGCUUGCUGAAAUUCAGAAUCGAAGUGGUACAUUGCGCACAUGCCAUGGAAAUUGCAUGCUUGACUGAUUGUGUACAUCCAUCGCAAUCGCAAGCACUGAACCGCAAAAGAAAUGGUGAUUUUCUGGUGACCUCAUUCGUUCUGCACAAAUAAUUGGAGAGGAUAUGAUCUGCAUCACUCACCUUGAGGUAUGUAUGUGGUUCUGAUGCUUUCAUUCACUUCCCACAAGAUAUGGCCGGGACGCCCUGCCGUAUACGUCAACGUGAAAGCAACCUUGAUGCCUGGAAUUCCAAGUCAUCAUACCCGGGUCGUCGUUUGCUGUGCACCUCAUUCAGUCAGCAGUCUGAACAUGGAUGGAAUUCCGUCUAGAAUGGACGGCAGUAUCAUUUUCACCUGUAGAAAUUUCUCCUCUAAGCUGUCCUCAAAUUUAUGACACUUCGAGAUUUUCCUUUGUUUUCAGGAGAAAAUGUAACGUAUAUUGUAGAAUAAUAUCCACUGUAUAUAACAAACAAAUGGCGUGUGUAUGCUACAGCAAGAAGAGCGUAGAUCCAUGGAAAAGGCACCGAUGGACAAGCUCCUACUCUCCAAAAUCCACAUAGUGCUACUAGGUGCCCUUCUCUUGCUCAUCAAAGGAAAGGGCUUUGUAGAGUCAUCCUCAUCAUCUUCCCAUCCAAACGACACGGCCACCGGCUGUAUCGCCGAUGAGAGGUCUGCGCUCACUGGCUUCAAAGCAGGCCUCUUGGACCCUGGAAACCUCCUUUCAUCAUGGAAGGGCGAUGACUGCUGCAAAUGGGAGGGCGUUAUUUGCAGCAGCAGAAACAGCCAUGUCGUCGAGCUCGACCUCUGGGGCUUUGGUUGUGACGACUUCCCCAGAGAUGUGAGAUGGAAGGUGCUAGGAGGAAACAUUAGCUCCUCGGUGCUUGGCCUGCGACAUCUACAGUAUCUCGACCUCAGUUGCAAUGGGUUCUAUGGGGUGCAAGUACCUGAGUUCCUGGGUUCUCUCCACAAGUUGAUGUACAUCGACCUGUGGUACUCAAGCUUCAUUGGAAGGAUACCGCCGCAGCUGGGUAAUCUCUCCAACUUACAGUACUUAAGUCUCGCCUAUGGUGCUGGCACAUACUCCAAGGAUAUCACCUGGUUGUCAAAGUUAACUUCCCUUGAGUACCUGGACCUGAGCGGCACAAACCUCAGUACAAUUGUUCACUGGCUUCCGGUUGUGGCCAUGCUUCCAUCUCUGAACGUUCUUUCUCUUAGAAGUUGCGAUCUUAGAACUAGCCCUGCUUCACUUCCACUUUCAAACCUGACAUCUCUUGAAACACUUGACCUUUACUACAAUAGCUUCCCUAGACACAUCACACCCAACUGGUUUUGGGGUUUAACUAGCCUCAAGUAUCUAGAUAUUGGAGGCAAUGGUUUCUAUGGCCAACUUCCGGACGAGAUAGGUAAUCUGACCUACAUAGUAGAGCUUGAUUUAGGAUCAAAUUACCUUGUGGGCAUGAUACCAUCAAACCUGAAGAACCUAUGUAGCUUGGAAAAAUUUGAUGUAAGUAACAACAGCAUGAGUGGAAGCAUAACAGAGUUCUUCCUACGCUUGCCUAGUUGCUCAUGGAAUAAGUUGAAAUACAUGCAUCAACCUUCCAACAAUGUGACAAGAAUCCCACCAACCAAAUUAGAACCCUUAAGCAAUCUGAGGUACCUUUUUAUCGGUAGUAAUAACCUUUCUGGUCAUGUGCCACUAUUGAUAGGAAAGUUCACAAAGUUAAUUAAAUUGGACCUGAGCGACAAUAAACUGGAAGGCUUCAUACAUUUUUUUUAGAAAAGGGGUAUUACCCCGGCCUCUGCAUCCGAAAGAUGCAUACGGCCUAUAAUAAUCUAUCAGGACUAGAAAGCUUGGAGUAUUUGUGGUUGUCUAAUAAUUACUUAACCCUCACAAUGAAUUCCACAUGGGUUCCUCCUUCAAAUCUAACAAAUAUUGCACUUCGGUCAUGCCUUCUCGGGCCUAAAUUUCCAUUGUGGCUAAGAUGGCUAACACGUCUAGACAAUCUUGAUAUCUCAAACACAAGCAUAUCUGACACGGUGCCGGAUUGGUUUUGGACGAUGGCUUCCACAGUGAAAACUCUAAACAUGCGACAUAACAAUAUUAGUGGCUAUUUACCAUCUACAAUGGAAUUUAUGAGAGCAACUGCAAUUGAUCUCAGUUCUAACCAGUUCAAUGGUCCAAUACCUAAGCUUCCCAUUAAUCUGACGGAUUUGUAUCUUAGUGGAAAUAAUUUAGUUGGGCCAUUACCAUUAGACUUCGGAGCACCGAGGCUUGUAACACUCAUUCUAUUUGACAACUCCAUCUCUGGCUCCAUUCCCUCUUCGUUGUGCAAACUGAGAUCACUACUUCUGUUGGACAUGUCCAAAAAUAAGCUAACCGGAACAAUGCCUGAUUGCUCUACAUCCAAAAAAAACAUGAAUAGUCUUAAUAUUCUUAAUCUAAGCCUCGGAAACAACAACCUCUCGGGUGGAUUCCCCUCAUUUCUCCAAUACUGCCAAAAACUCAUUUUUCUUGAUCUUUCACACAACCAUUUCUUUGGGACUUUGCCAACAUGGAUUCAGGAGAAAUUGCCAUAUUUGGCUUUCUUACGGCUGCGAUCAAAUAUGUUUUAUGGUCACAUUCCAGAGGAGCUUACAAAGCUAGUUAAUCUUCAGCAUUUGGAUCUUGCCUACAAUAACUUAACAGGGAGCAUAGCAAAAUCUAUUGUUUACUGCAAAGGGAUGAUAGCAACAAGAGAUGAUUAUAAUUAUGCAGUUUAUAGUGCUCUCGGUUAUGGAUGGUCAAUGGGCCUGAAUGAUUUCACCUAUACCGAGAAUGUCAUGGUAGUCACAAAGGGUCAAGAGAGAUUAUAUACAGGAGAGAUCAUGUAUAUGGUGAAUCUUGAUUUGUCCUGUAAUAACAUUAGUGGUGACAUUCCAGAAGAAAUAGGCACUCUUGUCGAAUUGAAGAACCUGAAUUUAUCAUGGAACACAUUCAGUGGAAAAAUUCCAGAGAACAUUGGUGCCUUGGUGCAAGUUGAGUCACUCGACCUAUCCAACAAUGAGUUGUCUGGUAAAAUCCCUCCAAGCUUAUCAGCUCUUAUGUCAUUAAGUUGGUUGAACCUGUCCUAUAACAACCUGACGGGAGAGGUACCAUCUGGAGAUCAACUUCAAACACUCAAGGAUCCAGAAUAUAUUUACAUUGGUAACUCAGGCCUUUGUGGACCUCCUCUCUCAAAGAAUUGUUCACAACCCAAGCCGAUUACAGCUACUCGAGAACACCAUGACGACGUAACCGAUGUGGUUUCAUUUUUCUUUGCUAUGGGUUCUGGAUACGUAAUGGGCAUCUGGGUAGUCUUCUGCAUCUUCUUGUUCAAGAGGAAAUGGAGAGUUAAUUGGUACUCGGUCUGCGACAGCUUGUAUGAUUGGGUCUAUGUACGAGUGGCCGUUACCUGGGCUUCUUGGACAAGAGAAAAAACUGCAGAAGCCAAGACGGAUCGCUAGAUCACUCUGGUUCUCCGUUUGGUACUAAGCAGAGUGUGGGGAUUUUACCAUGUAUCAAUGUUGUGUAAGUAUUGUACUAGUACAGUUCAAAGAUACAUGUUUGAAGAUUGUGCCGUGUAAACUAAGGUUUGGGUAUGUAAAGUUGAUAUCUAAUGAAAAUAGUGCCAGGGGCAGCAACAAAUUCCCUGUUUCGGGUGUGUGUGUGCGUGUCAAGGCCUGAAUUAACUGGUGUUGAGCAAUUCAUCAGGUGUGUUCAGACAGGAGUAGGAUUUAUGACAGCCAGAGUUUAUGACAGGGUAGGAUUUUACUACGUCGACUCUAUGCUUGUUCACUCGAGAAACACUUCACAGGUUUCAUACUUCGGACAAACCAAUUCGGCUGGAUGCAAACAUGUCAUGUCUGUUCAGCUAGGCAUAUAGUUACCCAGACAUAAUCAAGUUUGUGCAAAUGUCGAACACAAUUACAUAAGUGAUAGAUACUCCCUAUGUCCUCAAUGUCAAAAAUGGUCUUACAUUUUGGGACGGGAGGGAGUACUAUAUUUACGAUAUUAUCACUAUGUUCCCAUGUAUCAUUUGAGUGUGCGGAUUUUCCCAUGUAUCAAUGUUGUUAAAGUAUUGUACUUUUGUGGAUUGUGCUGUAGACUAGGGUUUCGAUAUGUAAAGUUGAUUUGUAUUACUAAUGCCAGGGGUCGCACUAAGUCCCCUGUUCUGGGUGUGUGUGUUAAACUGUCAAUGGCUGAAUUAACGGGUUCCCAAAGUUAUAAGUUGAACACCCGUGCACACACAAAGCUAUAACGGGCUUCAGACAUUUACCGGAGAAAUAUUAUAGUACUUGCCUCAUCUCAUUCUAAGCUCUGAAUCAAAUAGAACUAGAAUUUCUGACGGCCAGAAUUUAGUGUGUGCAAAUUCUAAGCUCUGAAUCAGAUAGCACUAGAUUUCCUGACGGCCAGAAUUUAGUCUGUGCAAAGGGUGUCAAACAAAAGAGGAAAGGAUUUAUUUACCUUUAGGUCGACACACUAUACUGCACUAGAGAAACAUAUUAUUGUACAGGUUUCAGACUUCUUGCAAAAUUAACUGAACGCAAAUGCAGCUUGUCUGUUCAGGUAGGAUUGCUCAAAGCCAGGAUUUUAUUCUGAACCCUGAUAUUACAGGGUGUCGAACACAAGUAAUAUUAGAGGAUAGGAUUUUAUUCUGAACCCUGAUUUCUACACACACAAUCCAGAUGACUGACAGAGUUCAAACUUUCUUUUCAGUUUUCGCACAGGCGGAACACCGCUUUUGUUUCAGAGGAGACGACCAUGACACUGGACUUGUAGACCCAUCACAGGCAGAAGAAUUGAUCUGCAUCACUCAACUUGAUGCUUUCACUUGCUGCGUUCAGACAUAAUUUAUUCACAAGAGAAACAAACAAUGCUCGGGAUUCACAAGUUUUCAGACAAACCAAUUUUGCCUUGUCGUGUACAGUGCCGUGCGCGGGCCGGGGGGGAAACGACGCAUCUGGAAGGCGCUUUCGGUGACACCUUACCAUCCAUUUGAGUCAAAUGAUGCCUCAAUCGCCUGGAAUUCCAAGUCAUCAGAUCAAAGUCGUCGUCCCAUGUUCAGACGUUUCCACACAAACCAAUUUCGCCUCUUCGGGUACUGUGCGGUGCACGGGAAGAACCGACGAGCGCGAGAACGACGGAAUUGGCAACGUGCUUUCCAUCCAUUUGAGUCAAUUCAUGCCUCAAUCGUUUGGAGUCAAGUCAUCAUUCCUGGACUCGUUACUCUUUUCUGUCAAUAUGCUUGGAUACUCUGAAAAUUUAGAAGACACCAACUAUUUUAGUAUGCGGCCAAGCUUUUCUAAUUUGAACCCCCUCCCAACACACACACAAAUUGUAUCGAUAAUAUGAAAUUAUAUUAUUAUGGUUGCCAUUAAUCAUAUUUUAUUAGUAAAGGACAUAAAAAUUUCUAUUUAAAUAUGCAUAUGAAAAGUACUGGUCAAACAUGCAUAUGGGAGAUCAUAUCAACGUCAUAGUUAGGAAUUACCCCCAACCAACAAGCCACAACGGCCGAACUUACAGGCGUACAACGCAAGAAUUGAUCUGAAUCACUCAAUUUGAUGCUUUCACUUUCUGCGUCCAGACACAAGUCGCUCAGAGGAGAAACAAAUAAUGCUCAGGGUUCAGACAUGCCGCGUCCAGACACAAUUUAUUCACCAGAGAAAAAAAUAAUGCCAAGGGUUCAGACGCUUUCACACAAGUAAAUUUUGCCUUUGUUGGUACGGUGCGGUGCAUGGGAAGAAUAGAAGGGGACAAAAACGACGCAUCUGGCAAGGCACUUUUGGUGACACCUUACCAUCAUUUUGAGUCAAUUAAUUGAUGUCUCGGUGGUUUGGAAUUCCAAGUCGUCGUUCCUAUGAUCACUAGUCGGUACUAAUAUGCAGACCAAAUAUAUACUUGCAUAAUCUGAAAAACUAAAAGAUACAAACUCUGUUACUGUGCAGUCAAGCUUUUCUAAAUGUGACUAUAUACUAAUACGCACAGAAAAAUUAGAUUGACAAGAUGAAACAUAUAAUAGCAAGUUUGUCAUGAAUAUAGAAUGUAAAAACUUCUACUUAAAUAUCUAUAAAAAAUAGCGAUCUAAUAUGCAUAUUGGAGGCCAUAUCAACGGGACUCUACGAACGGAAGAAGCAUGUUGUUGCGUCCAUUACUUCCAUCAAUCAGUACUCCAAGAAAAAGAAAGGCAACUUGCUGACCAUGUGAACAGAAUACGAUCUAGAACGGCCACCAGUGUCCUUUUCACCGGUUCAAAUUUCUUCUCCAGGGGUAGUCACAUUUCUGUCAGGUCAGUGUCGCAGGAAUCUCAGCUAUACUAUGCUUAAAGUUUCUCAUUUAUUUUCAAGAGAAAACGAGAUAUAUACCAUGGGAUAAUCUACACUAUAUAUAUCAUGACACGGAGUUUGCAUCCUAUAGCAAAAAGAACAUAGAUCCAUUGAAAAAGCACCAAUGGACAAGGUUCUACUCUCCAUCCACAUAGUGAUAUUUGGUGCACUUCUCUUGUUCAGCAGAGGCAAGAGCUUUGUACAGUCAUCAUCAUCUUCUCACACACAUCCAAACCAUACGGUCACAAGCUGUAAUGCUAGUGAGAGGUCUGCACUUCUCGGCUUCAAAGCAGGCCUCUCGGACCCUGCAUACCUCCUUUCAUCAUGGAAGGGUGAUGAGUGUUGCAAAUGGAAGGGCGUCCACUGCAGCACUAGAAACAGCCAUGUCGUCAAGCUCGAUCUCCCGGGCCAUGGUUGUGACCCCAACAGCGAUGCGUGGACGCAAGUGCUAGGAGGCAACAUCAGCUCCUCUUUGCUUGGUCUACGACAUCUACAGUAUCUUGAUCUUAGCUGCAAUGGGUUCUAUGGGGUGCAAGUGCCGGAGUUCUUGGGUUCUCUCCACAAGUUGAGAUAUGUCGACCUAUCGAGUUUAAGCUUCAUAGGAAGGAUACCACCGCAGCUGGGUAAUCUCUCCAACUUACAAUACUUAAAUCUCAACUCAGAAUAUUUCAAUGCCAUAUACUCUAUGGAUAUCACCUGGUUGUCACAGUUAACUUCCCUUGUGCACCUGGACCUGAGCGGCACGAACCUCAGUACAAUUGUUCACUGGCUUCCGGUGGUGAACAUGCUUCCAUCUCUCAAAGUUCUUCAUCUUAUCAAUUGCAAUCUUAGAACUAGCUCUGCUUCAUUUCAGCUUUCAAAUCUGACUUCUCUCGAAACUCUUGACCUUUCCGCCAAUGGCUUCCAUACACACAUCGCACGCAACUGGUUUUGGGAUUUGACUAGCCUCAAGUAUCUAUAUGUCUCAUCGAAUGGUUUCUAUGGCCAAUUUCCGGACGAGAUUGGUAAUAUGACAUCGAUGGUAAAGCUUGAUUUAUCAUCGAAUAACCUUGUUGGCAUGAUACCGUCAAACCUGAAGAACAUAUGUAGUUUGGAAGAGUUCUUUGUACAUGAAACCAACAUCAAUGGAAGUAUAACAAAAUUCUUCCAGCGUUUGCCUAGUUGUUCAUGGAAUAAGUUGACAUACUUGUCUCUAGCUUCCAGCAACUUGACAGGGAGAUUACCAACCAAACUAGAACCCUUAAACAAUUUGAUCUACCUUGAUAUCAGUCGUAACAAGCUCAUUGGUCCUAUGCCACUCUGGAUAGGAGAGCUCACAAAGCUAACUUACCUAGACCUGGGCUACAACAACUUGGAUGGUUUCAUACAUGAAGGUCAUUUAUCAGGACUAGAAAGCUUGGAGUAUCUGUGGCUCUCUGAUAAUUCCUUAACCCUCACAGUGAAUUCGACAUGGGUUCCUCCUUCAAGUCUAACAAAUAUUGAACUUCAGUCAUGCCUUCUCGGGCCUAAAUUUCCACCAUGGCUUCGAUGGCUAACAAGUCUAGACAAUCUUGAUAUCUCAAACACAAGCAUAUCCGACACGGUUCCAGAUUGGUUUUGGAUAACGGCUUCUACAUUGUACACUCUAAAAAUGGGACAUAACAAAAUUAGUGGUUCUCUUCCAUCUACAAUAGAAUUUAUGGGAGCAACUGCAAUUGAUCUUGGUUCUAACCAGUUCAAUGGCACAAUACCUAAGCUUCCCAUUAGUCUAAGUGACUUGAAUCUUAGUAGAAAUAAAUUAGAUGGACCACUACCACUAGAUUUUGGAACGCCGAAUCUAAUGAAACUAGUUUUAUUUGAUAACUCCAUAUCUGGCACCAUUCCCUCUUCAUUUUGCAAGAUGAGAUCACUAAUACUAUUGGAUAUCUCCGGAAAUAAGCUAAAUGGACCAAUUCCUGAUUGCUCUGCUAAUACAUCCACAACAAACAUGACCAGUAUGAGUAUUCUUAACCUAAGCUUAAGAAACAACAAUCUCUCCGGUGAAUUUCCUUCAUUUCUCCAACACUGCCAAGAACUCGUCUUUCUUGAUCUUCCACACAACCAUUUCGUUGGAACUUUGCCAACAUGGAUUCGGGAGAAAUUGCCACGGUUGGCUUUCUUACGACUACGAUCGAACAUGUUCUGUGGUCACAUUCCAGAGGAGCUGAUGAAGCUAGUCAAGCUUCAGUAUUUGGACCUUGCCUACAAUAAUAUAACUGGUAGCAUACCAAAAUCUAUUGUUAACUGCAAAGGGAUGAUAGAAACAAGAGAUAAUUAUGAUGAUGGUGGUGACGCAUUACAUCAUGCUUUUGGCUUCAAUGAUGAAUGGGAACAUGGCCCUAAUGAAUUGGUCACCUAUACCGAGAAUUUCACGGUUGUCACAAAGGGUCAAGAGAGAGAUUAUAUACAGGAGAGGUCAUAUACAUGGUGAACCUUGAUUUAUCAUGUAAUAAUCUUAUUGGUGAUAUUCCCAAAGAUAUCAGCGCUCUUGUCAAAUUGAAGAGCCUGAACCUAUCAUGGAACAUCUUCAGUGGAAAAAUUCCGGAAAAUAUUGGCGCCUUGGCGCAAGUGGAGUCACUCGACCUAUCAUACAAUGAGUUGUCUGGUGAAAUCCCUCCAAGCUUAUCGGCUCUUACGUCAUUAAGUCGGUUGAACCUGUCCUACAACAACCUGACAGGAGAGGUAACAUCCGGUAAUCAACUGCAAACGCUUGAGGACCCUGAGUAUAUUUAUAUUGGCAACCCGGGCCUCUGCGGUCCUUGUCUGCCACAGAAAUGUUCACAGCCGAAGCCGAUUCAAGCUACUCGAGAACACCAUGAAGAUUUGAAUGAUGUGGCAUCGGUUUUCAUCGCUAUGGGUUCUGGAUAUGUAAUGGGUAUCUGGGUGGUCUUCUGCACCUUCCUGUUCAAGAGGAAAUGGACAGUUUAUUGGUACUCGGUUUGCGACAGCUUGUAUGACCGGGUCUAUGUGCAAGUGGUUCUAACCUGGGCUUCCUGGACAAGAGAAAAAGGCGCAGAAGCUGAGACCAAUCAUUAGCUCGCUUUGGUUCUCUCCAUUUGCUAUCAUUUGAGUGUGCGGAUUUUACCAUGUAUCAAUGUUGUUACAGUAUUGUACUCAUACACAUAUUUGUGGAUUGUGUUGUAGACUAGGGUUUGGAUAUAUGUAAAGUUGAUUUGUAAUUAAUAAUGCCAGGGGCCACACCAAGACCCCUGUUCCGGGUGUGUGUUUGUCAAUGACUGAAUUAACCGGGUGUCCAAAGUUAUAAGUUGAACACCCGUGCACACACAAAGCAAGACUCGAUUCUUCCCCUCGAUACACUAUACUGGGCGCCGGUGCAGUUUCUUCGCUAGAGAAACUAUAUUGGGCGCAGAUGCAGUUUCUGUAGAAAAUAUAGGAUGGAUGAAUAUUGUGUUGUUGUAUGUUGUAUUGAUCUAACCCUCGUAGGGGUAUAUAUAGAAGUACAAUAGGGGGAGAGACUUGGAGUACAAUGCAAGACAUUGUUUAAACCUAUCUUAUCUCUAGUUACGCUUAUCUCUACACAAUUAUAUUUCUAACAUCCCCCCUCAGUCGUAGCGGGAGUGAAGCGGACGAUUGCGACUGAAUUUGAAGUCUUGUGAUUCUGUCUUCUUCUCCGAUGCACCAUCAUCAACUGCGUCUCUGAUGGCUGAUGGGUCGGCACCUAGGGCGGUGACUGCGUCCCCUUCUGGUGCCUUCCCUGUCUUCUCCUCUAUUCCCUCCCGCAGUCACAGCAGGAGUAUCGUGACGCAUGUGACGAAGCGGACGCUGUUGACUGGAGUUGUUGCCGAUGAGUUGCUGCAGACGUAGUCAUUAAUGUCGAGGUAGUCGUGGUCGAUGGUGUAGUCGUCGUGGAUGAUGAAGCCGCAUAAAGCCGGAGGCGCAAAAAAAUGCGCUAUGACGGAGCUGCAGACAUGGACGAUGCACCUUGCGGAUGUCAGAGGGUGCCGUCGGCGAUGAGUCCAUCGGUUUUGCCAAGACCAAAGAAAGCCCAUCGAGCACACAUCGGUUUUGCCAGAACCGUGUGGCCGUGUAGGGUCGUCACUGUAGUGACGCCGUGUCGAUGCAGUCGUGACGUCGUGAAUGACACGGUCGAUGCCGUCGUCGUGACGCGGUCAUUGCCGUCGUCAAGGUCGCGUCUUGCAGAAAAGUCUGUCAGAGACGCUAGGUGUCCAUCUUGUGGACGAGGCGGCGGCAGUGUGUUGACGAUGAUGGUGACGAAGACUACGUUGAUGAAGACCUUGGCGAUGAAGUGUCGACGAUGCAGCGGCAUGUAGACGAUGAUGUGUCGCUUGUCGAUGCCGUGUCGUGCUGAAGAAGCAUGUUGGCGUAGUCGUACAGCCGUUCAGGGUCGUGGAAUAUUGAUGCAGAUCGCUCGGUGUAGAUCGAUGUGUCGGCCUGGUGUAGACGGCAUGAUGGCGCACGAGUGGUCGUCAGGUUGAUGGAGUCAGGAGUCGACUUGGUGGAGACCGCGUCCGUGCGCGUGCCUUGAAGUCGAAAACCUGCUGGCCCUCUCGGUGUCCGGCGCCGCGAGCCUGCUCGAUGAAGAUGUCGACGUGCGGCUAGGUGCUGUUUGUCGUCGGCCAGAUCAGAUCGCGAUGAUGAUUGUUCCCACCCGCGCAUGGAUCGCAGAGACCCGCAUGGCGUUGCCUUUCGAUCGUUGCAGAAGGCCCGUGGCUGAAGACUGAAGUCCAAGGCUCCAUCCAGUGCACGUACGCAUGGGCGUCUUGGUGAGUUUCUUCAUAAAUUGCUGCUGCCGGUCCAAGCGAAUUUCCUCCGUUUUGCAUGAUUUCAGUGACUUCCAUGCAAUCACCUUCUACACAUAUCUUGUUGCAUCCAGUUUCACUUGCGAGGAGAAGUCCAUCUCUUAAGCCUCGUGCUUCCGCCGUAGCCGCUUCUUCAACAAAAGGAAUAUUGCUGCAAGAUGCCGCCACAAAUAAACCGGAGUGGUCUCGAAGUAUAGCACCUGUAGCGCCAGUGCCACUGUCAAUGUCGAAACUCGCGUCCACAUUCAGCUUGAUUGUGCCCUCUGGUGGUUUCUCCCAGCCAUGUCUCCUAAUUCUGUUGUGCUUGAAUUUCGCUCUUGAGUAAUUUUUUGCGAGUGCCGAUAUUGCUUGCGCCGAUCUGGUUGGCUCGUACAGUUGCUCGCCGUGUGUAUAUCUGCGUCGUUCCCACCACAAGUACCACACAGCCGUGGCAACAAGGUCAUUACGGUGAACAUCAUUAACCAAUGACUUAGUUGGAUUCUUGGACAAUAGGAGGUCAGCCAUCACCGAGCCACCCUCUCUUUCCACCAUGCACACCUCAUUCACCACCGCUGCCAUACCUAGCAAACGCCACACCUCCUGUACUCGAGGGCACAAGAUAAAGCAUGUCGGAUGCUUUCACAAUCUGAACUGCAUAAGGGGCAUUGAGAACUCGAAACUAUAUGUCUGUUCGCUAAGACUCCUUGGCAUGGAAGAGCUCCAAGCAAAGUUUUCCACACAUGAAUUUUCACUUUUAAAGGCACACGUAGUUUCCAAAUGGUCCUCCAAACUGGACUAGUACUUGAGGCUUGUAUCGAAUUUGUCAUCCUCAACUUUCGUCCGUGUUGGUGUUCCCAUUCUUCAUGAUACGCUGACCUCACCGUAAAAUUUCCGCUUCUGUUAAAAUGCCAAGAAACAAAAUCAUCCAUCAUCCCUAAAGCCAAAGGAAUGUUGAGGAUACGUUGUGCAUCAAUUGGUCAAAAUAGAUCAUUAAUUAAUUGUUCAUCCCAAGCUCUAUUAUCCACAUCGAUGAGUUCCGACACCUUGGUAAUUACAAUGUUCGCCCUUGGUGUCAUGACUUUCCGAGUGGGGCUGCUUGGUACCCAAGAGUCCUCCCAUAUAUUUAUUUGAGACCCAUCUCCUACUCUUCAUAUAUGACCUCUCUUGAAGGUCUGAAUACCACCCCAAAUGCUCUGCCAGGUGUAAGAGCUGCCCUUCUUUAAGCUGCACGUAAGGAGGUUGCCCCCGGAAAAUAUUUUGCUCUUAAAAUUCUGGCACAUAACGAAUCUGGCUCACUCAAGAGCCUCCAACAUUGCUUUGCGAGAAGGGCCAAAUUAAAACAGUGUAGAUCACGGAAUCCCAUACCACCCAUCUCUUUAGGUACACACAUUUUCCACCAAGCAAACCAGUGCACGUGUUGUUUCAAGUCAUCAUCUCCCCACCAGUAUUUAGACAUAGCUGUAGUAAUCGCAUUGCAUACCUGCUUUGGUAAUUUAAACACGGACAUGGCAUACGAGGGAAUGGCCUGAAUAACUGCCUUUAACAAGACCUCUCUUCCUCCAUAGGAUAAUAGCUUUUCCUUCCAUCCUCUGAUCCUACAGAGCACUCUAUCAAUGAGAUGUUGAAAACAAUCAGAACGGUCUACUCCCACAAUGGGCGGAAGGCCCAAGUAUUUAUCCGUGAUCGCUUCUGCCAUUAUGUUUAGGGUGGUGCACACCUCCACCCUAGUCUCCACAGGUGUACAAGGGCUAAAAAAUAUGCUAGAUUUAGCAUCACUAACCAACUGCCCUGAAGCCAUGCAAUAAUCAUCCAGGGCUCUUCGAAGACUAGUUGCAUUGGCAGCAUCUGCUCGCAUGAGAAUUAGUGAAUCGUCAGCAAAAAGAAGAUGUGACACUGAGGGAGCAUCUCUGCACACCUUAACUCCCAAUAAGUUCCCGGACUCCUCCUCAUGCAUGAUCAAGCUAGAAAGGCCCUCCGCACAUAGCAAGAAUAGGUAUGGUGAGAGGGGGUCUCCCUGCCUGAGGCCCCUAGAUGGAACAAAAUAAUCGGUCAACACAUUAUUAACCCGUACCUGAUAUGUGACGGACCUCACACACUCCAUAAUCAGGUCCACCCAGAGUGGCGUGAAGCCCAAACGUAGAAGGAUGAGCUGUAAGAAAUUCCACUCCACCCUAUCAUACGCCUUGUGCAUGUCAAGCUUCACCGCACAUGUACCAUAUUUGCCCAUAGUUUUUUUCUUGAUCGCAUGAUAUGAUUCAAAGGCAACCAGAAAAUUAUCAGUAAUGAGACGCCCCGGAACAAAUGCACUUUGGUUUGGCGAGAUUAUCUCCGUCAAGAUAAAUUUCAGACGGUUAGCCAGAAGUUUGGAAAUCACCUUGUAUACCACAUUGCACAAACUAAUUGGCCGGAAUUGAGUUAUAAGUGUUGGAUUUUCAACCUUCGGAAUUAGGACAAUGGUGGUGUUGUUCCAUCCUUCUGGGAUCUUCCUUGAGUUAACAGCAAUGAGCACUUCAUCAGUCAAAUCCUCACCUAUGAUAUGCCAAAACCUCUUAUAAAAAACUGCAUGUAAACCAUCCGGGCCUGGAGCUUUUAAAUCGCCAAUGUUAAACAUGGCCUUUUUCACCUCCUCACGUGUGUAUGCCCUAGUCAACUCUUCAUUCAUGGCUGCUGUAACUCGUGGUUUCACUUUGUUAAUUACAUUCAAAUUCGGAGCUUGCUGACCUGAAGUAAAAAGAGAGGAAAAAUAAGUCGCUGCAUACGCUCUAAUAUCCUCCUGAUCAUCUAUCCAAUCAUCAUUCUCUCGUUGUAUACGUUUGAUGUAAUUUUUCUUCCGACGACCAUUAGCAGCCCUGUGAAAAAAUUCUGAAUUCCGGUCUCCUCGAGUGAGCCAGUCUGCUCUACCCCGUUGGAGCCAAUAUAUUUCCUCCUGUUCCAGAAGCUUCUCAAUUUGCAUAUGUAAAUCAUGCUGCCUAACCACGGCCUCAUCAGACAAAGGGCCAGAAAGAACUUCGUUCAAUUCCUUCUGAAGCUCUCGGAGUUUAUUGCGGGGCCCCUUGAGGACGUCCUUAUCCCAGCGGUGCAACGCCCUGUGAACCUCAGCCGUGCUGUCCGCUAGUGGAACAACACCAAUCUGCUUACAUUUAUCCCAAGCCGUUUGGACUACAGUUUGAAUAUCUUCCUCUGCUAACCACCGUGCCUCAAAUUUGCGUGUUCCGGAAGGACCCCUAGGCUGGAUCGCCGGUUGGUAAUCAGUAUCAAUCAAAACUGGACGAUGGUCUGACUUAUAUCAAAGUCCUCAUUAAACACGACAAACCCUGGGAACAAGUCUGCCCACAACAUAUUUCCCACUGCGCGGUCCAAACGCUCGCGUAA
rnacentral:lncRNA from 1 species